rnacentral:rRNA from 1 species
CCUACGGGUGGCUGCAGUGGGGAAUAUUGGACAAUGGGGGGAACCCUGAUCCAGCCAUGCCGCGUGUGUGAAGAAGGCCCUCGGGUUGUAAAGCACUUUCAGUGAGGAAGAACGCCUGGUGGUUAAUACCCAUCAGGAAAGACAUCACUCACAGAAGAAGCACCGGCUAACUCCGUGCCAGCAGCCGCGGUAAUACGGAGGGUGCGAGCGUUAAUCGGAAUUACUGGGCGUAAAGCGCGCGUAGGUGGCUUGAUAAGCCGGUUGUGAAAGCCCCGGGCUCAACCUGGGAACGGCAUCCGGAACUGUCAAGCUAGAGUGCCGGAGAGGAAGGUAGAAUUCCCGGUGUAGCGGUGAAAUGCGUAGAGAUCGGGAGGAAUACCAGUGGCGAAGGCGGCCUUCUGGACUGACACUGACACUGAGGUGCGAAAGCGUGGGUAGCAAACAGGAUUAGAUACCCGGGUAGUC